GAGGAAGGAGGUUGGCGAGGCGGAACUCGCGUGCAUAGAUAGAUCACCGAACACCGCUGCCGCUCCAAUCCGGGUGCUGAUUAAUUUAUGUUCUGAAUGCGUUGCGCCUUGAAUUUAUGAACACAGAAGGCAAAAAGGAAAACGGUAUUUUACCGGCUGGAUUGGCGGAUAUGGGGGAGUUGAGCAUCAGUCACGCUGCGCAAUACGUGCUGCGAUGAUUCGGAGACGGAGCGGCACUGCAACCGGUCUCUCACUACGUCAAGGAGUGCGUGACUUCCAGCCUUCAUCUGUAUGGAAGGCUACGCGCAGCGUCAGGCGAGGCGUGUGGGUGAGUGCAGCUGCUGGAUUGAGAGAGAGAAAGAGAGGGAUUUAUUGGAAUUCUGUAGAGAUAACAUAUCACUGCAAUCAACAGCAAACACCUCGAGAUGCCCGGUCAUAUUCCGACUUGUCUAUUCACUUCUCUGUAGACAAGGCGCUUUCGUUGAUUGUUAUUGUCAGUUGAUUGGCAGUAGGCUACAACAGGGCUACUGAUGUAACUUUGAAUGGGUGUACAGGGGGUCUCAUAUAUGAGAUAACUAACUAUUCAUGUUACAGCACUCUACUUUUCUGCAGGGAGGAAAGGCAGGAGGAGAGGACCACAUCCCCAACCACCUGAAUGCACAUGGGCACACACACACACACACACACACACACACACACACACACACACACACACACACACACACACACACACACACACA